UGGGGCGUGGAGUAAUGGCAGCUCACCAGACUUUGAAUCUGGAAGGUCCUGGUUCGAAUCCAGGCGCCCCAGC
rnacentral:tRNA from 3 species